UAAGAGGGAAGGUAAUGAAAUUCACCAGUAAAAGCAGCACCAUAGCGACAGCUUUAGAUCCUGAAGACCAGAAGAGAUACCAGUAAAGUAUGGUCUUCACGCGGUUUACAUCGAGGAGUCGCGACAGAGAUACCUGGUGGUGUUUUGUUCGUACACUGGAUGCUUGAAAACAAUGAGACUCAAUUGGGUUCCAUGGAAGAGCUGGUUGAGUUUUACACUUGCUAACAAAAAGAAAAAGAAGAAGAAGAAGAA